rnacentral:rRNA from 1 species
GAUGAACGCUGGCGGCGUGCCUAAUACAUGCAAGUCGAGCGAACAGACGAGGAGCUUGCUCCUCUGACGUUAGCGGCGGACGGGUGAGUAACACGUGGAUAACCUACCUAUAAGACUGGGAUAACUUCGGGAAACCGGAGCUAAUACCGGAUAAUAUAUUGAACCGCAUGGUUCAAUAGUGAAAGACGGUUUUGCUGUCACUUAUAGAUGGAUCCGCGCCGCAUUAGCUAGUUGGUAAGGUAACGGCUUACCAAGGCAACGAUGCGUAGCCGACCUGAGAGGGUGAUCGGCCACACUGGAACUGAGACACGGUCCAGACUCCUACGGGAGGCAGCAGUAGGGAAUCUUACGCAAUGGGCGAAAGCCUGACGGAGCAACGCCGCGUGAGUGAUGAAGGUCUUCGGAUCGUAAAGCUCUGUUAUUGGGGAAGAACAAAUGUGUAAGUAAAUAUGCCCGUCUUGACGGUACCUACUCAGAAAGCAACGGCUAACUACGUG